rnacentral:lncRNA from 1 species
UGUUCCCGCCCACCGCCCCGCCCCCUGGCCACGACCCCGCCCACAGCCCCGCCACCGGAGCUGGUCUCCGUCCCUGGUGCUGACGCAGCCCGGAGCCCCGGGACCCUCAAUAAUUGAGCCGGGAAAUCCCCCGCCGAAGGCUGGGGUGCGCGGCGGUCGCCCCUGCCCGCACCCCCCCCACCCCGGGGCCCCUAAACGUCCUUCUCCGCGGCAGCUCCACAGAGACCGGAACUGGGGCGCGAGGCGGCCCGCCCGAGACCGGAAGCGGAAGCGUGGGGCGGUGCCGCGGAGGGAGCCUCGGGUGGUUUGCUGCGUGGGGUGUGCGGUCUCCUUCGCGCGUGACCGGCUUCACGUGACAGGAAAAGCAUCUCUCGAGCUCCAGUUUGUGUUAAAACCCGCUUCAGGGCCCACCAGCCUCAAAGUCCACCAUCCUCACUGAUCCGUGGAUUUCGGUGUGACCAGGUGAGUACUUGCAACAGGUUCCAGCAGCUUCCACUGUUCAAAGGAGCUGUUAAUGGGCUUUCCUGUGCUCAGGUGGUAAUCACAAGAAGCCCCUAAGAGCGAGGGUAUCUUAAGAAAAAUUAUUUGUAUGUUUGAUAGAUUAUGUUCAAAGGAAGGGAUACUAAGGCGGGUGUGGUUAUAUGUGUGGAAAUAAGGCAGUAAAUACAGUUAUAUGCAAAUAAGUACACAUUAAACAAAUAUGUAAAUAACUAAAUGUGUGUUAUUUAGUUAUUAUUUAGUUAUUUAGUUAGCUAUGGAAAGACAGAUUUUCUUGCAUUCCAUAAUACUAAAAAUUUCAGGAUUUUAUAAAUAAGCAUAAAUAUAUGAAAUUUUUACAUAUAUGUAGUAUUACAAGUCAUCCCACUAAAGAUUAGCAGGACUACUCAGCAACAUUCCUCAGGCCCAUUCGAUUUGACUUCUAAGCCCUGUAAAUCCUCCACAAAGAUUCAAAAUAUAUGGACAUCAGAAGCCCCAGUAGCCUAAUGGAUAAGGCAUUGGCCUCCCCAAAAUAUAUGGACAUCUGUGGGGGAAAAAAAAUGCUUUUAACUUCUUUCUAUGAAUAAUAGAAAUGUAAAAUUGAAUGGCCCAGCCACCAGAUGCAUGUUGAAGAAGUAGAUUUUUUUUUCUUAAUAAGAUUUAAGAUUAUUUAGAGGAAUAUCCAGCAACAGCUUAGAUUUUGAAGGUUAGGACACUAGUUUCCACAAAGAUUGUCCUCUCUACCUGGUCGUCUGGCAGGAAUUAACUUUAUUUCUUAAAACUUUUCUGAAAUAACAGUCUUAUGAUUCACAUUACAGAAAAUCCUGUUAACUAUUUAAUUGUCGGGUUUUACUAAUUACAUGUAUGUGCCCCUUUUUCAUUCUCGCUUUCCUGUAAUGUUUUGGAGGGGAAUGUUUAUCUGUCAUGCAAUAGAUAUUUUUUGAGUGCACAGUUUAUGGAGAUCAACCCUCCUUGUUUAUUUGAGACUGAAAGGUUUUCCAGGACACAGAACAUUUAGUGUUCAAACCAGGACAGUUCUAAGCAACCAGGAUGGCUCAUCAUCUCCCCGAGCCAGACCCUGGGCCAGAUGAUAGAGACCAAACAGAGAGAGCCAAACAGACCUUGUUCUGCUGCCAUGGAAUUUAUGUUCUAAUAGGAAAUUGUGAUUUUAUUUAUUUUUUUUAAAGAUUUUACUUAUUGAGAGAGAGAAAGCACAGGUGGGGUGAGGGACAAAGGGAGAAGCAGACUCCCCGCUGAGCAGGGAGCCCACUGCGGGGUUCCAUCUGAGACUCUGGGACCAUGACCUGAGCCGAAGGCAGAUGCUUAACCAACUGCUUAUGCCACCCAGGCACCCAGGAAUUGUGCGCCAAACUGCUGCGCCACCCAGGGAUCCCGUGAUUUUAAACAACUAAUGACGGGAGUGAUGUGGGAGCUUGGCAAAGAGCACUCAGUCGAGGGAACAGAGAAGCCUUCUUGAGAACUGAUAUUUAGCUAGCUGUAGCAUUAGCUGGAGCAAGGAUAUGGGAUUACUUUCAGGAGAGCAUAUCAGGCAAAGGGAACCACAUGAAGACAACCCCCAAAGCAGGAGAGAGCCUUGUAUGCUCCAGAAACUGGGAAGACAGGUCCAAAUCUAAGACCUGACCUGGUCCAGCCUGCCCUGCUCUGGGCUGGCUCACACCCCUGCCCCCAACUUGGUUGUCUCAGCUCAGCCAUAACUAUCUUCCCAGUUCCUGGGAGCCCUGUAACUCCUCAGCUCAGUGACUAGAAUCUUCCUAACUGUAAAUUGGGUCCCUGGUGGGGAGAAAGGAGACAUCCUCCACCUCCACAGCAGUUGUCUGGGUCUCCUGGACUCACUCCAAGCCUCAGGGAAAGUUGGAGGUGAGAGGCAGCAUUCAUUUCCUGUGGCUACUGUAACAAAUUUGCAGAGACUCAGUGGCUUAAAGCAACACAGACUUCUUUUCCUGCCAUUCUGGAGGGAGAAAUCCUAAAUGGGUCAACAGGGCCACAUUCCUUCUGGAGGCUCUAGGGGAGACUCCUUUUCCUUGUAUUUUCCACCUUGUGGAGGCCACCUGCGUUCCAGUGAGUAGUAUCUUCAAGUCUCUCUCUCUCUCUCUCUCUGACUCCUGCUUCCAUUAUCACAGCUCCUUCUCUGACCCUGACCUUCUUACCUCCCUCU